GAUGAACGCUGGCGGCGUGCCUAAUACAUGCAAGUCGAGCGAACAGACGAGGAGCUUGCUCCUCUGACGUUAGCGGCGGACGGGUGAGUAACACGUGGAUAACCUACCUAUAAGACUGGGAUAACUUCGGGAAACCGGAGCUAAUACCGGAUAAUAUAUUGAACCGCAUGGUUCAAUAGUGAAAGACGGUUUUGCUGUCACUUAUAGAUGGAUCCGCGCCGCAUUAGCUAGUUGGUAAGGUAACGGCUUACCAAGGCAACGAUGCGUAGCCGACCUGAGAGGGUGAUCGGCCACACUGGAACUGAGACACGGUCCAGACUCCUGCGGGAGGCAGCAGUAGGGAAUCUUCCGCAAAGGGCGAAAGCCUGACGGAGCAACGCCGCGUGAGUGAUGAAGGUCUUCGGAUCGUAAAACUCUGUUAUUAGGGAAGAACAAAUGUGUAAGUAACUAUGCACGUCUUGACGGUACCUAAUCAGAAAGCCACGGCUAACUACGUG
rnacentral:rRNA from 1 species